UUUCCUGUGGCUCAGUAAGUAGAGCAUUGUUUUAGCAGCACAAAGGUUGUGGGUUCAACCACCAGGGAAC